CCUACGGGGGGCAGCAGUGAGGAAUAUUGGUCAAUGGACGAGAGUCUGAACCAGCCAAGCCGCGUGCAGGAUGACUGCCCUAUGGGUUGUAAACUUCUUUUAUAUAGGAGUAAAACAGGAUAUGUAUACCCUCUUGUAUGUACUGUAUGAAUAAGGAUCGGCUAACUCCGUGCCAGCAGCCGCGGUAAUACGGAGGAUCCGAGCGUUAUCCGGAUUUAUUGGGUUUAAAGGGAGCGUAGGUGGAUUGGUAAGUCAGUUGUGAAAGUUAGAGGCUUAACCGUCGAAUUGCAGUUGAUACUGGCAGUCUUGAGUACAGUAGAGGUAGGCGGAAUGCGUGGUGUAGCGGUGAAAUGCUUAGAUAUCACGAAGAACUCCGAUUGCGAAGGCAGCUCAC
rnacentral:rRNA from 1 species